rnacentral:rRNA from 1 species
UACGUAGGGGGCAAGCGUUGUCCGGAUUUACUGGGCGUAAAGCGCGCGUAGGCGGAACGUUAAGUCCGGUCUGAAAGCCCCCGGCUCAACCGGGGAGGGUGGCUGGAAACUGGCGUUCUUGAGGGCGAGAGAGGAGGGUGGAAUUCCUGGUGUAGCGGUGAAAUGCGCAGAUAUCAGGAGGAACACCAGCGGCGAAGGCGGCGCUCUGGGCCGGUACUGACACUGAGGAGCGAAAGCGUGGGUAGCAAACAGG